GACGAACGCUGGCGGCGUGCUUAACACAUGCAAGUCGAACGGAAAGGCCCUGCUUUUGUGGGGUGCUCGAGUGGCGAACGGGUGAGUAACACGUGAGUAACCUGCCCUUGACUUUGGGAUAACUUCAGGAAACUGGGGCUAAUACCGGAUAGGAGCUCCUGCUGCAUGGUGGGGGUUGGAAAGUUUCGGCGGUUGGGGAUGGACUCGCGGCUUAUCAGCUUGUUGGUGGGGUAGUGGCUGACCAAGGCUUUGACGGAUAGCCGGCCUGAGAGGGUGACCGGCCACAUUGGGACUGAGAUACGGCCCAGACUCCUACGGGAGGCAGAAGUGGGGAAUAUUGCACAAUGGGCGGAAGCCUGAUGCAGCAACGCCGCGUGCGGGAUGACGGCCUUCGGGUUGUAAACCGCUUUCGCCUGUGACGAAGCGUGAGUGACGGUAAUGGGUAAAGAAGCACCGGCUAACUACGUG
rnacentral:rRNA from 1 species